AACGAACGCUGGCGGCCGGCCUAACACAUGCAAGUCGAGCGCCCCGCAAGGGGAGCGGUAGACGGGUGAGUAACGCGUGGGAAUCUCCCCAUCGUUCCGGAAUAGCCCCGGGACACUGGAAUGAAUACCGCAUACGCCCUACGGGGGAAAGAUUUAUCGGGGUUGGAUGAGCCCGCGUGGGAUUAGCUAGUUGGGAGGGUAAAGGCCUACCAAGGCGACGACCCAUAGCGGGUCUGAGAGGAUGAUCAGCCACAUUGGGACUGAGCCACGGCCCAAACUCCUACGGGAGGCAGCAGUGGGGAAUAUUGGACAAUGGGGGCAACCCUGAUCCAGCCAUGCCGCGUGAGUGAUGAAGGCCUUAGGGUUGUAAAGCUCUUUCACCGGGGAAGAUCAUGACGGUACCCGGAGAAGAAGCCCCGGCUAACUUCGUGCCAGCCGCCGCGGUAA
rnacentral:rRNA from 1 species